rnacentral:rRNA from 1 species
GAGUUUGAUUAUGGCUCAGAGCGAACGCUGGCGGCGGGCCUAACACAUGCAAGUCGAACGGGCACCUUCGGGUGUCAGUGGCGCACGGGUGCGUAACACGUGGAUAACCAACCCUCUGGUUCGGGACAACGCCGGGAAACUGGCGCUAAUACCGGGUGUGUCUGCGAGGUCGUCAGGCUUCGCAGAGAAAGGCUCGCAAGGGUCGCCAGGGGACGGGUCCGCGUCCCAUCAGCUUGUUGGUGAGGUAAUGGCUCACCAAGGCGACGACGGCUAGGGGACCUGAGAGGGUGACCCCCCACACUGGGACUGAGACACGGCCCAGACUCCUACGGGAGGCAGCAGUGAGGAAUAUUGCUCAAUGGGCGCAAGCCUGAAGCAGCGACGCCGCGUGGAUGAAGAAGGUUUUCGGACUGUAAAAUCCUUUUCUGUGUGACGAGAGUGGACGGUAGCACAGGAAUAAGUCUCGGCUAACUACGUGCCAGCAGCCGCGGUAAU